CUUUACAAAUCAGCUUGUUACAGCUUUAAUGAGAAAGAUGAUGGACGUUGAGAUCACAGCAGUGCCAGAACAAUCAAUAGAGGUCAUUGGAACUAAAACCAAUCGAGGAGAAUAACUGAGCCCUUUGUAAAGCAAUCAUGCUGCGCGGAGACACUGAUUGGUUGCCCACAGUCGAGCAUGCCCUGAACGACAUCGAUGCUUCCGACUGACAUUUUCAAGUGAGGAGAUUGUAACAUUGUGGUGUUCGGCCGGCAGCGACAAGUGGUUGUAGCAACUUUGUGAGGGACGUGCCAUAUUUAUGCAAUCAUAGCAGGAAAAGAUGUGAUGGAAGGAAAUUCUGUUUCAUCUAGUAAAUGCAGGACUCAAGCUUUUUACAUCUGUGGCAACUGAUUGGAUUUAUCUCAUUUUCAAAUUGCCUAUGUUAUCGGUGCAACAGCUCUACACCACAACAGAUUGGCAGGGUACUGACAGAUGAUCACCUGGAGGCAGCAAUUUCCCAAAUGGGUGCAAUAAACGUAACCAGUUGGAUUAUUGCAAUCAGUGGACAAGUUUUUCUUCCUGUGACUGACUGGUGACUGGCGCUAGCCCAGCUUAUCAACCAGUUGGAGUCAGUUUUAACGGAAGAGCAGUGAACAGCGCAGCCAUCACAUUUGGCACCGCUAUGACAGUGAGAGGUGUGAAGGAAUUAAUUGUCUAUCAAAGACACAAACACCGCUACACACCAUUGUAACAUGUGUAAUGAAUGCCACAGGCUGUUGAAGUCAUCACCACACACCACUGUAACAUGUGUAAUGAAUGCCACAGACUGCCGCAGUCAUGGCAGACUGUUCAGUUGUAAUCUCCAUUGUGAUAAGCAGACAACAGCUGAACAAUCAGCAUAGCAGUUCGUCUGCUUUGGUUACUGGAUACUGACAAUCAGUUCAAUAGAGGACUAUGUAAAUGGAAUAAUAAUCAAUAACUUUAUCAAUAACUUGAGAUAUGAGGUCCAAGUAUCAAAACCGCAUUGGCACUUUCACUCUGACUGCUUUUUAGAAUUAAUGGUUAGACAACUUCUUCCAAUCAUGAAAGACAUUGCCGAUGAUUAUGUGCCAAAGGACAACAAGCAUGGAAUCUUACCAGCCAUAAGAUUGGUUGGAAAUAUAUAUCGUGACGCUAAGUAUUGGGAUUAACCAUAAAUGGAAUUUCAGGCAACAAACCUGGUCACAACUGGAUAUGUCAAGGAAUUGCUAAUCAUACUGAUGAUAAACUUAUAAAGCAAAUACCAUAAUAGUUGUCCCUACGUGAAGAAUUUCCGUGUCUGCGGAAAGAAUUUCUGCACCUGUCGAUGUCAGUAGAUGAAACCUGCUGCUUCAUUAUUGGACAUAUUCUGGGAAUGUUAAAAAAUUCUUGUGACAGCUAGAUCUACAAGUAGAAUACCAUACUAAAGCUGUUGUAGAGAACGACGCACUAGGAUUACUUCCUAGCAAUCAUCACUGCACAUCUUCAGGAUAGAACUUAUUGGAUGUGAGGAGGCUGAACUGUAGGCGAUGUUAUUGUGACUGACAGAAUAGUGUCAUUCUAAUUCCGCAGUAACAAAAUAAGAGUGGUCAAUAUUGAGCUGGAGAGAAAGAUCGAUGCAGAUUAGAGGGUCAACAGGCCAAUGAUUGAUAUAGGAUGCUGACUGUCGGUGGAUUCAUAUACUGAGAGGAGCCGGGCAUCGGAGACGAUAUUCAGCAAGAGGUGGACAAAAAUAGAGGGUGGAGUACCACAAAACACUGGUUCAUUCGACUGGAUUACAUCACACCUUACGGAACGAAAGGAAUCAAGUAUGGAUCUGUCUAUGCUAGAUCAUCACAUCAUAGAGAACUUGGAAAAUAAGACAGUCAACUGUUCAAACUCGGAUUUAGAACAUAUGACCAUUGGAAUAUACGCUCAAUUAAGAUUCCAGGUGUAUUUCGUGCUUGUCGGGCUGAUAUGCUGCUUUGGCAUUGUGGGUAAUUCAUUGACGGUUAUCGUGUUUCACAAGGAUAAACAAAGCAUAACAACGGGAUUUCUGCUCCAGUGUUUAGCAGUUAGUGAUAUGGUGACAUUAAGUUGUAUGUUCUUGCAUCAAACGUUACCAGCAUUGUACCCGUACACUGGUAAACUGCAAGGAUACUAUCACGUAUCAACUUACAUCAUUCCAUAUAUCUGGCCUCUCCGGCUGAUCGCCAAUACAUGCUCAUUGUUUAUUAUCACAAUCGUAACAGUUGAUCGUUAUAUCCGGGUUGUCCUCAGUAUGACCUCAUCAAAAUGGAUAAAAAUUCUUAAAUAUACGAAAACAAUUUUAGUAAUUGCCAUAAUGCUGGCCAUCGCGAUAAAUGUGCCACGAUUCUUUGCUCUGAAGUCUGAAACUGUUCUGGAUGUUUGCAGUGGAGAGUAUAUUCCAUAUACGAAUCUUACGAAAUUCUACGUCAACUAUAAACUUCUUCUCUAUACGAUUGAUGU